rnacentral:lncRNA from 1 species
GUUGUGAAUAGUUUACCUCCCAGACUUCUUCAAGUGUUAGUAGAGGUUAACCCCUAUGACAUUUAUCUAAUUGUUUUAAAUCAUUUAUUUGCUUCUCUUUACGAUCCGCUAUAGUAGAGAUAUUCUCUUGCCCUAUUGGAUAUUCUAAUUUAUUAUGUAAAGAAUGUAAAUCUUAAUAUUAUUAUUUGUUUCUGCAUUUAAAAAUACAAAUUCAUUUCCUUUAAGUUUUGAGUCUUUACAAUAUUAGCUUAAAUAAACUCCUAGUCUCCUCUACCUUAACUUUGUUUCUUGGUUAGAUCUCUAACAAAUCCAUUUAUUCAUAGUGAUCUCUCCUUCAUCACCUUAUAUUCACUGUAUCAGUCCCUCAUCCUUCAUCUAUACCAAACUACUUCAAUAUGUACAUCGCCUCAUAUUUUCAC